UACGUAGGGCGCAAGCGUUAUCCGGAAUUAUUGGGCGUAAAGAGCUCGUAGGCGGUUUGUCGCGUCUGCCGUGAAAGUCCGGGGCUCAACUCCGGAUCUGCGGUGGGUACGGGCAGACUAGAGUGAUGUAGGGAGACUGGAAUUCCUGGUGUAGCGGUGAAAUGCGCAGAUAUCAGGAGGAACACCGAUGGCGAAGGCAGGUCUCUGGGCAUUAACUGACGCUGAUGCGCGAAAGCGUGGGAGCGAUCCGG
rnacentral:rRNA from 1 species